GGGGAAGCUUUGGUCCAGCCUGGCAGCCUGAGGUCCAGUCCUACUCUGCCUACCCCGCCGUUAGGCGAGUCCAGCCCUGCAGGAGUGCCCUAAGCACUAAAGAGAUUUCCCCAGCUUGCCAGCUUUCACCCCGGAGCUCAGCAGAUGGCUGUGACUGCCUAUGGUGGGGUCUCCGGCAGCUUGCUUCCCGCAAAGCUCCUUCCAGGGCUCAGGGCUUCCUUCGGGGUUUCCUGCUACGGGAGAUUUGGAGACAGAUGUGCCACAUGAAGGAGAGGAUGGCCCUCUGCAAGCCAAGGAGGCAGGCCUGGAACGGACCCUUCCCUCUGGCCCUCGGAAGAACCCAGCCUGCUGACACCUUGAUUUCAGACUUCUGGCCUCCGGAGCUGUGAGGCAAUAAAUGCCUGUUGUUUCAG
rnacentral:lncRNA from 10 species